rnacentral:lncRNA from 1 species
UGUAUCGGAUUUGUGCUUAGCUACAGCUGUUCAUGGUUUGGUAUACUGGCAUGGCCUCACCUUUACUGUUAGGUUAAGGUAACCUUAGGGUGUUUGUGAGACUGUGGCUUGAAGGAUUUGACAUACUGCACAGAUACAGUGCUAAGGACCAUUAUCUGUGGAGUGGGGAAGGAGAGCUGGGAAGAAUAUAAUGCAGAGUUACGUGCACCACAGACUUAUUAAGCUGUCUGUGAACAGAAUUUAAUUGGAAGACCACACAUUCUUGGACAGUGCAGCAACCAAGCCUGAUCCUGCUUUCAGAGGAAUUCAAGUUGUUAAUUUCAGCAUUAGAGUGGAACCGCAACAUAUGGAAAAUCCACCUGUGAUGAGUGCAUCCUUUUCUGAUUUUGAAGACUUUCGCCAGCAGCCUCAGAAUAGACUUUAA